AAAAUCAUUACUUAUCAUGACAUGUGGCUAGGGAUGUCAAAAUGGGUCAAAAUUCAUGGGUCAACUCAACUCAACUCAACCCAUGAACCCUAAUGAGUUGAAAAUUUUGACUCAAAUGAGUUGAUGAGCCAAAUGAGUUGAUGAGUCAAUUGGUUUGAUGAGUAAAAUGAGUUGGGUUGUAAUGGUUAAUGGUUUCAAUGGUUUACCCAAUUAACCCAUCAAGUUUUGUAAAAUUGAAUUAAACCAACUAAAAUCUCUAAACCAAUGUCAAUUUAAGUUUAACCAACAUAUUUAAACCAAUUUAAUAAAAUUAAUAUUUUUCCAAAUUUCUUAAAUAUACAAGCGAUGAAAUUGAUAAAAAGUAAACUCGUAAUUUUUCCACUAAAAAAGAUAAACCCGUGAUUUUCCCGCCAAAAACGUAAAUCCAUAAUUUUCCCGCCAAAAACGUAAACUCGUAAUUUUCCCGCCAAAAACGCAAAUCCGUAAUUUUCCCGCCAAAAACGUAAACUUGAAAUUUCCCGCCAAAAACGUAAACCCGUGAUUUUCCCGCCAAAAACGUAAAUCCGUGAUUUUCUCGCCAAAAACGUAAACUCAUAAUUUUCCCGCCAAAAACGUAAAUCCGUAAUUUUCCCGCCAAAAACGUAAACUCGUAAUUUUUCCGCCAAAAACGUUAACCCGUGAUUUUCCCGCCAAAAACGUAAACUCGUAAUUUUCCCGCUAAAAAUGUAAAUCCAUGAUUUUUCCGCCAAAAACGUAAACCCGAGAUUUUCCUGUCAAAAAUGUAAACCCGUAAUUUUCCCACCAAAAACGUAAACCCGUAAUUUUCCUGCCAAAAACGUAAACCUAUAAUUUUCUCGCCAAAAACAUAAACCUGUGAUUUUUCCGCCAAAAACGUAAACCCGUAAAAAGUGGAAUCCGUAAAUAUUCUAAGUUUGAUAAUGAUGAAUUAAUAAUA
rnacentral:sRNA from 1 species